CCCUCACAUCAUCAGUUAAAGAAGAGAGAACAACACCGGAGAGAUGUCCUAGUCCUCUUGUUCCACAGGAUGGUUUAGAAGAACAUCACAAUGAUCAGAUGACUGUACCAGGAGCUCAGAGGAACAUCUAAUAUAUUCAGAUUUUAAAACAGAUGAGUCUGGUGUCACAGAAGAUACACGUGAAGAGCAUGGCAUUAUCUCAGAUGUAUCCUCAGCUUUUCACAGCAAAGAUCUGUCAUCUGAUCUUUUGGAUGGAUUAAAAUCUCCUGAUUUAUCACAGAUUGUUAAGCAAAAUAAAAGUCACAGAAGAAGUGUUCAAUAUAAAAAAACUCACACGGGAAAGAAGACCUUUUCAUGCUCAGAAUGUGGGAAAUAUUUUAAAUGCAAAUCAGCUCUUGUUAACCAUCAAAGAGUUCACACAGGGGAGAAGCCAUUUUCAUGUUCAGAAUGUGGGAAAAGUUUUAGAACUAAAGCACAGCUUGUUCUGCAUGAGAAAAUUCACAAAGAGGAGAAGCCAUUUUCAUGCUCAGUAUGUGGGAAAUGUUUUAAACAUAAAUCAUAUCUUGUUCUGCAUGAGAGAACUCACACAGGGGAGAAGCCAUUUUCAUGUUCAGAAUGUGGGAAAUGUUCUAGAACUAAAUCAGAACUUGUUACACAUCAACGAAUCCACACAGGGGUGAAGCCAUUCUCAUGUUCAGAAUGUGGAAAAUGUUUUAGAACUAAAUCACUUCUUGUGCUGCAUGACAGAACUCACACAGGGGAGAAGCCAUUUUCAUGUUCAGAAUGUGGGAAAUGCUCUAGAACUAAAUCAGAACUUGUUACACAUCAACGAAUCCACACAGGGGAGAAGCCAUUCUCAUGUUCAGAAUGUGGAAAAUGUUUUAGCUAUAAAACAGUACUUGUUAGACAUGAGAGAACUCACACAGGGGAGAAGCCAUUUUCAUGUUCAGAAUGUGGGAAAUGUUCUAGAACUAAAUCAGAACUUGUUACACAUCAACGAAUACACACAGGGGAGAAGCCAUUCUCAUGUUCAGAAUGUGGAAAAUCUUUCACAUAUAAAGCAGAUCUUGGUAAACAUCAGCUAAUUCACACAGGGGAGAAGCCAUUCUCAUCUUCAGAAUGUGGGAAAUCUUUCACAUAUAAAGCAGAUCUCGGUAAACAUCAGCUA